UUAACGUAUCUGGGGUGCUGAAAAGCUGAGAAUAUACCCACUGAACCUGAUUUGGUUAAUACCUGCGCAGGAAGAUACAGUCCAUAUAUA
rfam:Weissella paramesenteroides ATCC 33313 genomic scaffold SCAFFOLD2, whole genome shotgun sequence.